GACAGAGGGUGCAAACGUUGUUCGGAAUUACUGGGCGUAAAGCGCGUGUAGGCGGCCCGGAAAGUCGGAUGUGAAAGCCCUGGGCUUAACCCAGGAAGUGCAUUCGAAACUCCCGGGCUUGAGUUCUGGAGAGGAAGGCGGAAUUCUCGGUGUAGAGGUGAAAUUCGUAGAUAUUCGCAGGAACACCAGUGGCGAAGGCGACUUGCUGGGCUUGUAGUGACGCUGAGACGCGAAAGCGUGGGGAGCAAACAGG
rnacentral:rRNA from 1 species